AAUAAUCCUUGAUUAUUAUACUAAAUCUAUAUGUCCAUUCGUGGACACAAUAUAUGUUCAGAGCAGCAUGAAUAUACUAAAUCUAUAUGCCCAUUGCAAGUUCUGGUUUUUACUUCAAUGGUAGGUCAAACCGAUUAAGAAGUCCAAUUGGGUAUGUUGGCCCUAACGAUGAUUCAGGAUCAAUACUGAGUUCAAUGUGUGGGGUAUGGGAAUCUGAACUACAUAGGCAACCAUACAAACAUCACUUCUUUUGCUCAACCUAGAAGUGCUGUGGUAUUCCUAGUGAUGAUAUUAGUUGGGGAAGAUCAGGAAACCUUGGCCGUGGAACCGGAGAUAACAACUUUGGCUUGCCUUCUGGAAACUAUGCGAGGAGCGACUCAACUGGUACAAUUGGCGAGCCAUUUCCUGGCAUGAAUCAAUGAAUAUGAAUCAAACAAUCCAGGUGCAUAUGGCAGCAGCUCUAUUUAUGGUGACUCAACGUGGAAAUUCCACUGGGGGAGGGGAUGAUGGGUAAACCUGCUGUGUGUCCGUACUUGUUUGUGGAUGAGCAGCCACCAGGGAAAACAAACCAACAGGAGAGUUGGGAGAGAGAAGGAAACAAUUAAUUAUGCAAACACGGAGGAGACACAAUUUGAAGACUGUUGGUACACCUACGGAGCACGAUGAGGGAGCAUACCAAGCUCGGACCGUCAGACACGCGGAGGACGGACGGUGGCACCGGUGGAGAUGGAGACAAUUGCGUGCCGUUUUUUGUGGAGGGCUUCGUUGGUGUCAGGCGCCGGGUGGAG
rnacentral:lncRNA from 1 species